CGGUCUCCCGGGUGACGGGAACGCGGUAGCCGGGAGGGGGAGUUCUGGUGCGCCUGCGCACUUACAAGAUCGGGGUGCCGCAGGAGCCUUGAAAUGAAGCGUGUUUUCUCCCUGCUAGAAAAGAGUUGGCUUGGUGCUCCAAUACAAUUUGCCUGGCAAAAAUCAUCAGGAAACUACCUUGCAGUAACAGGAGCUGAUUUUAUUGUUAAAAUCUUUGAUCGCCAUGGCCAGAAAAGAAGUGAAAUUAACUUACUUGGCAACUGUGUUGCCAUGGAUUGGGAUAAAGAUGGUGAUAUCCUGGCGGUGAUUGCUGAGAAGUCCAGCUGUAUUUAUCUAUGGGAUGCCAACACCAAUAAAACCAGCCAGCUAGACAAUGGCAUGAGGGAUCAGAUGUCUUUCCUUCUUUGGUCAAAAGUUGGAAGCUUCCUGGCUGUUGGGACCAUUAAAGGAAAUUUGCUCAUUUAUAAUCAUCAGACAUCUCGAAAGAUUCCUGUUCUUGGAAAGCAUACUAAGAAAAUCACAUGUGGAUGCUGGAAUACAGAGAAUCUUCUUGCUUUGGGAGGUGAAGAUAAAAUGAUUACAGUUAGUAACCAGGAGGGAGACACAAUAAGACAGACACCAGUGAAAUCAGAGCCAAGUGACAUCAAGUUUUCUACAAGCAAGACCGAUGACCGAAUUCCUGCUUCUGAAAACAUAAUAAGCGUAGUAGUUGGCAAGAAAAUGUUGUUUCUUUUUCAUCUGAAUGAACCAGAUAAUCCAGUUGAUCUGGAGUUUCAGCAAGCCUAUGGCAACAUCGUCUGCUACAGUUGGUAUGGUGAUGGCUACAUCAUGAUUGGUUUUUCCCGAGGAACAUUUCUGGCUAUUUCUACUCACUUUCCAGAAGUUGGGCAAGAGAUAUUUAAGGCUCGAGACCAUAAGGAUAAUCUGACUAGUGUGGCAUUGUCACAGACUCUGAACAAAGCUGCUACCUGUGGAGAUAACUGCAUAAAAAUCCAUGAUUUGACAGAAUUAAGAGACAUGUAUGCUAUAAUUAAUCUGGAUGAUGAAAAUAAAGGGUUGGGUACCUUGUCCUGGACUGAUGAUGGUCAGUUGCUAGCUCUGUCUACCCAAAGAGGCUCUCUGCAUGUCUUCCUGACCAAGUUGCCCAUCCUCGGAGAUGCCUGUCACACGAGGAUUGCGUAUCUCACCUCCCUGCUGGAGGUCACUGUGGCCAACCUCAUUGAAGGAGAGCCGCAGAUCACAGUUUCCGUUGAUGUGGAGCCCAGCUUUGUCGCAGUAGGUCUCUACCAUCUGGCUGUGGGGAUGAAUAAUCGAGCAUGGUUUUACGUCCUUGGCGAAAAUGCUGUAAAAAAGUUAAAAGAUGUGGAAUAUCUGGGGACAGUAGCCAGCAUCUGCCUCCAUUCUGACUACGCUGCUGCACUUUUUGAAGGCAAAAUCCAGUUGCAUUUGAUAGAAAAUGAAAUCUUGGACGCUCAGGAAGAACGUGAGACUAGGCUCUUCCCAGCAGUGGACGAUAAGUGCCGGAUUUUAUGCCACGCCCUAACUAGCGAUUUCCUCAUCUAUGGAACUGAUACUGGCAUUAUUCAGUAUUUCUUCAUUGAAGACUGGCAGUUUGUUAAUGAUUAUCGACAUCCUGUUGGUGUGAAAAAGCUAUUUCCUGAUCCAAAUGGAACCAGAUUAGCUUUCAUUGAUGAGAAAAGUGAUGGAUUUGUUUACUGUCCUGUUAACGAUGCUACCUACGAGAUCCCAGACUUCUCGCCAACCAUUAAAGGUGUUCUUUGGGAAAACUGGGCGAUGGAUAAAGGCGUAUUCAUCGCCUAUGAUGAUGAUAAGGUGUACACUUACGUGUUUCACAAGGACACCAUCCAAGGAUCCAAGGUUAUUUUGGCUGGUGGCACUAAACUUCCCUUUUCCCACAAACCUUUGCUGCUAUACAAUGGGGAACUGACCUGCCAGACACAGAGUGGGAAAAUCAACUCCAUCUACCUCAGCACCCACAGCUUCCUUGACAACAUAAAAGAGGCGGAGCCUUCUGACCUGAGGCAGAUGCUGACGCAGACCCUGAUGCUCAAGCGGUUUUCUGAUGCUUGGGAAAUCUGCAAGACCCUGAAUGACCGCGCAGCAUGGGGUGAGCUGGCCAGGGCCUGUCUACAUCACAUGGAGGUGGAGUUCGCCAUCCGGGUUUCCAGGACCAUGGGGGAUGUUGGCACCGUGAUGUCCUUGGAACAAAUAAAGGGAAUUGAGGACUACAAUCUUUUGGCAGGACAUCUCGCCAUGUUUACUAAUGACUUCAACCUGGCUCAGGACCUGUACCUGGCAUCUAACUGUCCUAUAGCGGCCCUGGAGAUGAGGCGGGACCUGCAGCACUGGGACAGCGCCCUGCAGCUGGCGAAGCGCCUGGCCCCGGACCAGAUACCUUUCAUCUCCAAAGAGUACGCCAUCCAGCUGGAGUUCACGGGUGAUUAUGUAAAUGCCUUGGCUCAUUACGAGAAAGGGAUCACAGGCGAUAAUAAGGAACAUGAUGAGGUGUGCCUGGCCGGAGUGGCUCAGAUGUCCAUAAGGAUGGGAGACAUCCGCAGAGGGGCUAACCAAGCCCUCAGACACCCCAGCAGGGUCCUGAAGAGAGACUGCGGAGCCAUACUGGAGAACAUGAAGCAAUUUUCAGAAGCAGCACAGCUGUAUGAAAAGGGCCAGUAUUACGACAGAGCCGCCUCUGUCUACAUCCGCUGCAAGAAUUGGGCAAAAGUUGGCGAGCUUCUGCCUCAUGUCUCCUCUCCUAAGAUCCACUUGCAGUAUGCCAAAGCCAAAGAGGCAGACGGAAGGUACAAAGAGGCCGUGGUGGCUUAUGAAAAUGCAAAGCAGUGGAACAGUGUUAUCCGCAUCUACCUGGACCACCUCAACAACCCAGAAAAGGCCGUCAGCAUCGUCAGAGAGACCCAGUCUCUGGACGGAGCCAAGAUGGUAGCCAGGUUCUUUCUACAGCUUGGUGACUAUGGGUCUGCCAUCCAGUUUCUGGUCCUGUCCAAAUGUAACAAUGAAGCCUUCACCCUGGCCCAGCAGCACAACAAAAUGGAAAUCUAUGCUGACAUCAUUGGCUCUGAAGACACGACUAAUGAAGACUAUCAAAGCAUUGCCUUGUAUUUUGAAGGAGAAAAGAGACAUUUUCAGGCUGGAAAGUUCUUCUUGCUGUGUGGCCAGUAUUCACGGGCACUAAAGCACUUCCUGAAAUGCCCAAGCUCAGAAGAUAAUAUUGCAAUAGAAAUGGCGAUUGAAACUGUGGGCCAGGCCAAAGACGAGCUGCUAACCAACCAGCUGAUAGACCACCUGAUGGGGGAGAGUGACGGCAUGCCGAAGGAUGCCAAGUACCUGUUCCGCUUGUACAUGGCGCUGAAACAGUACCGUGAAGCCGCCCGGACCGCCAUCAUCAUUGCCAGAGAAGAGCAGUCUGCAGGAAACUAUCGGAAUGCACAUGAUGUGCUUUUCAGUAUGUAUGCAGAACUUAAAUCCCAGAGGAUCAAGAUCCCCUCGGAGAUGGCUACCAACCUUAUGAUCCUGCACAGUUACAUACUGGUGAAGAUUCAUGUUAAGAGUGGAGACCACAUGAAGGGGGCACGCAUGCUCAUUCGGGUGGCCAACAACAUCAGCAAGUUCCCAUCUCACAUUGUGCCCAUCCUGACAUCUACCGUGAUUGAGUGUCACCGGGCAGGCCUGAAGAACUCCGCCUUCAGCUUUGCAGCUAUGCUGAUGAGGCCCGAAUACCGCAACAAAAUUGAUGCCAAAUACAAAAAGAAAAUCGAGGCGAUGGUCAGGAGACCAGACACAUCUGAGACAGAAGAGGCCACAACCCCGUGUCCAUUCUGCCAGUUUCUUCUCCCAGAAUGUGAGCUGCUCUGUCCCGGCUGUAAAAACAACAUUCCCUACUGCAUCGCAACAGGCCGACACAUGCUGAAAGAUGACUGGACGAUGUGCCCGCACUGUGGCUUUCCUGCGCUGCACUCAGAAUUCAAGAUCUUGCUAAACAGUGAAAGCACAUGUCCCAUGUGCUCAGAGAGACUAAACUCAAGUCAACUGAAAAAGAUUUCAGACUGCACCCAGUACCUGCGGUCAGAGACGGAGCAGUGAGCAGCAGGCCCAGGAACACACGCUCUCUACAGCCUGCCAAGCAUCCCCACGACGGGGUUCCUGAAUAGAUGGCAUCUCCCUGCAGGAAGCUGUGUCCGCCCAUGGUAGACUCAAAGGAUGACCCUCCCUGGACACAGGAACAAGACACAGGCCAGCACAUCCAGCUUCUGCAGUGACAUAAGCUGCUGCUUACUGAACUUUGUAUAUUGCCUCUUUGAAGUCCUACACACUCUGUACUCUGUACCGUUUAAUAGUAUAUCAAUUGUAAAUACCCAGUUUUUUAGUAACUUUUAUAUUUAAGUAUCUCCUCUGAAAUAAAAUUGUUGACUAGA